CACGUAGGGCGCGAGCGUUGUCCGGAAUUAUUGGGCGUAAAGAGCUCGUAGGCGGCCUGUUGCGUCCGCUGUGAAAGCCCGGGGCUUAACCCCCGGGUCGGCAGUGGAUACGGGCAGGCUAGAGGUAGGUAGGGGAGAAUGGAAUUCCCGGUGUAGCGGUGAAAUGCGUAGAUAUUGCUAGGAACACCAAUGGCGAAGGCAGCUUGCUGGGCCACUCCUGACACUGAGGUACGAAAGCGUGGGGAGCGAACAGG
rnacentral:rRNA from 1 species